UACAGAGGUCUCAAGCGUUGUUCGGAUUUAUUGGGCGUAAAGGGUGCGUAGGCGGCGAGGUAAGUCUGGUGUGAAAUCCUGGGGCUCAACCCCAGAAUUGCACUGGAUACUGCUUUGCUAGAGGACUGGAGAGGAGAUUGGAAUUCACGGUGUAGCAGUGAAAUGCGUAGAUAUCUGGAGGAACACCGGUGGGCGAAGGCGCCCGCUGGGCAGAGACUGACGCUGAGG
rnacentral:rRNA from 1 species